rnacentral:rRNA from 2 species
GCCACACUGGGACUGAGACACGGCCCAGACUCCUACGGGAGGCAGCAGUGGGGAAUAUUGCACAAUGGGCGAAAGCCUGAUGCAGCGACGCCGCGUGAGGGAUGACGGCCUUCGGGUUGUAAACCUCUUUCAGUAGGGAAGAAGCGAAAGUGACGGUACCUGCAGAAGAAGCGCCGGCUAACUACGUGCCAGCAGCCGCGGUAAUACGUAGGGCGCAAGCGUUAUCCGGAUUUAUUGGGCGUAAAGAGCUCGUAGGCGGUUUGUCGCGUCUGCCGUGAAAGUCCGAGGCUCAACCUCGGAUCUGCGGUGGGUACGGGCAGACUAGAGUGAUGUAGGGGAGACUGGAAUUCCUGGUGUAGCGGUGAAAUGCGCAGAUAUCAGGAGGAACACCGAUGGCGAAGGCAGGUCUCUGGGCAUUUACUGACGCUGAGGAGCGAAAGCAUGGGGAGCGAACAGGAUUAGAUACCCUGGUAGUCC